rnacentral:pre_miRNA from 1 species
UCACCUCCGCAGGUGGCCCCCAGGCUGGGCUGGGUGAGUGUCUCUUCGAAAGUUUCACCCCCAAGCACAACCAGGAGC